UGGGGAAUUUUGCACAAUGGGGGAAACCCUGAUGCAGCGACGCCGCGUGAUUUAGAAGGCCUUCGGGUUGUAAAAAUCUUUUCUAUGGGAAGAAAAUGACAGUACCAUAGGAAUAAGGACCGGCUAAUUACGUGCCAGCAGCCGCGGUAAUACGUAAGGUCCGAGCGUUGUCCGGAAUCAUUGGGCGUAAAGGGUACGUAGGCGGGUAAGCAAGUUAGAAGUGAAAUCCUAUAGCUCAACUAUAGUAAGCUUUUAAAACUGCUCAUCUUGAGGUAUGGAAGUGAAAUUGGAAUUCCUAGUGUAGCGGUGAAAUGCGCAGAUAUUAGGAGGAAUACCGGUGGCGAAGGCGACUUUCUGGCCAUAACCUGACGCUGAGGUACGAAAGCGUGGGUAGCAAACAGG
rnacentral:rRNA from 1 species